UACGAAGGGGGCUAGCGUUGCUCGGAAUCACUGGGCGUAAAGCGCACGUAGGCGGACUCUUAAGUCGGUGGUGAAAUCCUGGAGCUCAACUCCAGAACUGCCUUCGAUACUGAGAGUCUCGAGUCCGAGAGAGGUGAGUGGAACUGCGAGUGUAGAGGUGAAAUUCGUAGAUAUUCGCAAGAACACCAGUGGCGGAAGGCGGCUCACUGGCUCGGUACUGACGCUGAGGUGCGAAAGCGUGGGGAAGCGAACAGGA
rnacentral:rRNA from 1 species